UCAAAUUGUGAGACAGAAGCAGACGAAAGACAUCGGAAGAUUACAAAAAGUUAUAAAACAUGUCGUGGAGGUCUGUUGUUGUGUGCGUAGCUUUGUUGGUGAUCAAUUUGAUUCUAUGUUCAGCAUAUCCAAGAGGCGGUAGAGAAGAUGAAAUGUUGGAAACUUAUACUAAAUUUUAUUAACGUCGAAUCUCAUACAAAGACAACAAGAAUUAUAAUAUCCAGAUCUAUAUUUUGUUGAUAUCAUGAUAGAUAUGUGUUAUUUUACGUGUUACAAAAAUAAAACUAUAUGUGUUAUUUUAUGUGUUACAAAAAAA